GUGGGGAAUAUUGGACAAUGGGGGGAACCCUGAUCCAGCCAUGCCGCGUGUGUGAAGAAGGCCUUUUGGUUGUAAAGCACUUUAAGCGAGGAGGAGGCUACCGAGAUUAAUACUCUUGGAUAGUGGACGUUACUCGCAGAAUAAGCACCGGCUAACUCUGUGCCAGCAGCCGCGGUAAUACAGAGGGUGCAAGCGUUAAUCGGAUUUACUGGGCGUAAAGCGCGCGUAGGUGGCCAAUUAAGUCAAAUGUGAAAUCCCCGAGCUUAACUUGGUAAUUGCAUUCGAUACUGGUUGGCUAGAGUAUGGGAGAGGAUGGUAGAAUUCCAGGUGUAGCGGUGCAAUGCGUAGAGAUCUGGAGGAAUACCGAUGGCGAAGGCAGCCAUCUGGCCUAAUACUGACACUGAGGUGCGAAAGCAUGGGGAGCAAACAGGAUUAGAUACCCGGGUAGUCC
rnacentral:rRNA from 1 species